AGCGAACGCUGGCGGCAGGCCUAACACAUGCAAGUCGAACGAAGUCUUCGGACUUAGUGGCGGACGGGUGAGUAACACGUGGGAACGUGCCUUUAGGUUCGGAAUAACUCAGGGAAACUUGUGCUAAUACCGAAUGUGCCCUCCGGGGGCAAGAUUUAUCGCCUUUAGAGCGGCCCGCGUCUGAUUAGCUAGUUGGUGAGGUAAAGGCUCACCAAGGCUACGAUCAGUAGCUGGUCUGAGAGGAUGACCAGCCACAUUGGGACUGAGACACGGCCCAAACUCCUACGGGAGGCAGCAGUGGGGAAUCUUGCGCAAUGGGCGAAAGCCUGACGCAGCCAUGCCGCGUGGAUGAUGAAGGUCUUAGGAUUGUAAAAUCCUUUCACCGGUGAAGAUAAUGACUGUAGCCGGAGAAGAAGCCCCGGCUAACNUCGUGCCAGCCGCCGCAGUAAAAC
rnacentral:rRNA from 1 species